UGUUCUUGCCUUUGUGGAUCUUGAGGGCUUCACUCCAGUCCAAGCUUGGAAUUCCUGUCUGCAACAGAAUACAAUCUCAACCUUGCACAGGGACCAGAUGCACCAGCUGUUCCAAGCAGAUGGACCACCUUAGGAAGAGUUGCUCUUCUGUUCGCUCCGCCAAGAAGCCUCAGCCACCCAAAUUCAGGAAAACAGUGGCAGAAAGCCCUUGGAAGAAACUUACACUGGUCAGGACUCACAUGAUGGAAGGAAAGAACCAAGUCUCCCAUGGGUCUUCUGGUCUCCACAUGUAUGUCUUGAUAUGUGCACAUGAUAUGCAUGUACAUACACAGGCACAACAAAUGUAAAACGAACCAAAAACUCUUUAGUAAGUCACAGGGUUAGAUAAAUGACUUAGCAAUCAUGUAUAUACUCCUCUUGCAAAGGGCUACAGUUGAGUGCCCAGCACCCACCUCACAAUCACCAGGAACUCCAGCUUCAGGGGACCUGAUGCCCUCUUCUGGCCUGUUAGGAACCUGCCCUCACAUGCACAAACAGAAAUACACAUGACUUUUAAAAGUAAAACAAAAUCUCUUUAAAAAUCUGAGAGUUACAGUAGCCAUCUCAAAACAAAAACCUCCAAGCUGGUCUGCAGUCUGAGCUCCCAUAAGCCACUUCACUGGAAAGAAAGAACUGGCUAACUUAGUGCCUUGUCACUAAAAAGGCUCAAUUCUACUCCUGGGGACCUCUUAAUCUUGUCAAUGACCCUACUAAAGAGUAAACUCA